AUUGCUUCUCGGCCUUUUGGCUAAGAUCAAUUGUAGUGUCUGUUCUUGUCAGUUUAAUAACUGAUACUUCCUCUAUUUGAGGACAAUAUAUUAAAUGGAUUUUUGGAGCAGGAAGAUGGAAUAGGAAUUUGCUCCACCUACUCCACACAUCGACCUGGUAUUGCAGUACUUCCAGGAAUGGUGCACCAAAA
rnacentral:snRNA from 1 species